GACCCCAUCCCCCGGAAAGAGCUCUGGCGCAAGCCCCGCGCCCACCCUGGGGCACACCGCUCCGCUCCGCGGUCCCCCCGCCCCUAGCCGGGCUCCGGAAGCUGAAGUGGGGCAGCACCGGGCGGACGGUGGCGGAGGAAAGGGGCAAGGCUGGACCCACGUGCUCAGUAGCCUCGUGGCGCUGCUGUGUGCGCCGCCCGGGGCAAGGCGGGGGCGGCGGCGGCGCCCACGCGUGCAGACGGCGCGAUGCGCCCUGUGCGGCUGUGUUACCUCUGGGGUCUUUCUUCUCUAGCAGCAAAGAUGUAGCAGCAUGGUCACAUAGAGGUAGGGAAUCUAUUCCAGAUGUCUUACACCCUCCAAGAGGGGUUGGGAACCAGGAGUUGAUGGAGGAAAGGAAAUGAAGAAAAAACAGAGGAGUGACAAAAACAUUAAAGGGGGAAAGAAACAAAAAUGAAGACAGGGAAGAAAGAAAUGAAGGGCAGAAGUAAUAGUGGUCUUCAAGGUGAACGUUUGCCCCACUGGAUGAUGCUGAAUGUAAUAAUUAGGUAAAAUCUCCUUCAAAAGGCGAACCAAUCCGAAGAAGUUUGUGUCCAUCACAGUUCUCAUCUCAUCUAUGGUCUGGCAUUCAAUAGGUCCAAUGAGCCCCAUUCCAGCAUUGCUAACUGUACAGAUGCAAAACACAAUAGUGAGUAGUAACGGCAAUAAAUAUUAACUUAGCACUUUCACUGGAAAACACGUGGUAUAAAUGAGUGACUGGAAUAAGGGAUUAAAACACACAAGAGCAAUUAGUUAUUCAGCUUUUCACUGAAACCUUGAGAUUACAUUUGACAUGGAAUGUCUUUGCUUUUACUCAAAUACAUUUUAAAAUAUCUGCUAUUCUGAAGUUUUUCUUGUUUAUUUCUGAUUUAUGCCUUACUUUUUUUCUUUAAAUCAGGAAAAGGUAAGGGAAAAAAUGAGCAAAAACUUCCCUAUGAUAUUUGCUUAUAAUUCAGUAUUAAGAAUUAGGGGCCCAAUCAAGUCAAAUGGCAUCUCAGUUUACUUCACUGGGUAUUGGAUCAGGCCUUAGUAUGUUUGUUUGAUAUUUUUGGUCUACUUUGUGUUUAGCGCCUCAUAAUGUCAGUUUAUUUUUUUUAAAAAUGAACUGGCAUUGGGGGUUGAGAACUUUGUCACUAUGUGGGGGUCAAAAGAAGAUUCCAUUUGAGUGCUUGUGGUUUCAAAAAUCCAGAAUGGUCAUGCCAUAAUAUGAACACUUGUUAGUAAGAAGUGGAAUGUCAAAUUGGAGCAUAGUGCAAUUUGCAGAAAAUCAUGUUAAUUUUUACCUUGCUGUUCUGCUGCUCCCCUAUCAUCUCCCCCCAAAAGGCAGGCUCUGCUUCCUCUUAGCCAAGAUUUAAAAGCUGAGGGUGUAGUUAGUUGCCAUAUUAUGUUAUAAUUUAUUUUUACAAAAUAUAUUACAGAAAAUUUACUAGUAAAGUAUAAAAUAAAAUGGAACUAUAACUGUUAUUAGAAAUUAACCAUGUGCAUUUGAUGAUGCAUUAGUCUUUUAAUUAUUUAUUCACUUACUUGCUAAUUCACAAGGGAUCACCCUAUUGUUAGAGCAAAUAAAUAGGGGUCUACUGUGUUCAGAGGGUAGAGGUGGUCUUAGGUCUCAAGUGCAGGAUGGAGAAUCAGGAGAUCCAAGUUCUGUUCUCAGCCUUGCCACUGACCUACUGGAUGAUUUUGUAGAAGUUAUUUGAUCUCUUUGUGCCUGAAUUCAAUUAAUUAGUAUUUGUAAAAUGGCUUGAGAACCUUGAAUGGAAGACGUUAUAGAAGUGUACUGUAUUAUUGGUUUUAUUCAUAUAUUUAUACUUAAAUCCAUAAACAUUUUUAGAAAGAAUAAUAUGUUACAGAAACAUCUCUGAAAUAUUUAAAAGGACCCUUAAAUUAAAUCUUGUAUCCUGACUUCUUGUCCAUCUUUCAUUUGUGUUCAUUACUUGCCUAAUAUAUCAAUCCUUCUGUCAGGGAUGCUACUGACGCAAGUUUUAAUAGACUCUUCAUUGCAGACAUCCAGUUGUUUAAUUUCCAGGGUUUUACCCAAGGUUUUGCCUGCAGCUUCUGCAAGUUUGUCCUUCCUGGUCAGAUUCCUCAUGGUAGCAUACACUGUAAAGUAUUAUAAAUAAGUAAUCAGAAAUGUAACUACAGAGAAAGCUUUUCCUUUGAGAAUGACAGGAGACACAAGUUACAGUGCAUACAACCUUUAAGUCCGUAUUUUAGUGCUUAGAUAUCUUGGUGAUAGGGCCUUGAUAACAACCUAAAACAGAAUGUAUUUUAAAUUUUUAUAUAGUGCUUCUAACUUUCCUAAAUCAGAUUUUGGGAAGGAGCGAAUGGAGAAAUAAACCACUUAUACAGCCACGUUCA